CAGAGUGCUGUAACUGCUCGGGGGUACUAGCCGUGAAGUGGAACCUGAGGCAGCCAAAAAAAAAAUAGCCUUAAUCUCCCUUAAUGUGGUGGCUGUAGCUGUUCCAUAUGGAAAGAAGACAAUGCUGGUGGAUGUUCUAGAAGCUGUGUGCAAGGCAGGGUGGCUAUCCUGGGCAGUCGCUGCUGUGACCAUAGUGCAGAAGGUCUCUUAAUCCAUGCAACACUUCACAAGUCACUCUGGACAAGGAUUACUGGGAGGGAACCUCAAGGCACAUCAAGAUGUGUGUGGGCAAGGUCCUGAGUUGACUCUCUGUAAAGCAGGGGCCCAGAAGAUCCCAUAUCUGCUGUCUACUCCAGGCCGGAGUGCGUCUGGAGCAUGUAACUGUCGUGGUGCACAACAACAAUGGAGAGCUGCUAAGUGUGCUCACCAAGCUCAGCAAUCAGAAAAAGAGACUCCCUGA
rnacentral:lncRNA from 1 species